AUUCUGGUAGUUGCCGCACGGUCACACUCGAAAAUUGUUUGCCCGCGCGAGGUGCUGCGUUUCAUUUCGGCUCGCAUCGGAAACAAAAAAAAUCUCUUAACCGCCGGGAAAAUCGCGAAACAAUAUUGGGUUUUUUUGUGAAAAAAUCAAGAAAAAUAUUGUCAACCCAUUUUCCUUAGAUAACAACAAACAAAUGUGCGUGUGAAACAAUUGGCGACAACAACAAAUCGUGCACCCCAGACAGCCUGUGUGCGAGAGCGAGAGACCGUGAGAGGUGGUCGUGCGUCCCUCUCUAACACACACACUGAAUCGGCGCCGACGACGCGUACGCAACAAACGAAAAUAAAACGCAAGCGAAAAGGAGAGAGAAAGAACAAAUAACGCCCACCGUAACACCCCCCGCGAAUAAGAAGAAGAAGCAGCAGAGAAGCUAAAGCAGAGAAAGACGAAGAAGCAGCAGCAAAAGCAGACGGCAGAAUUGGAGCUUUGCGCAGAAAUCGAUUUUUUUGCCCAUUUUAAGAGAUUUUCGGUAGCCUCUCCCACUGCCGAAAAUCGUUUAUCGCCACUGCUGCGUCCGUGCUUGUGUUUGUGUGUGCGUGCGUGUGCCUGUGCGAAAGUGAAACAAACAAAUACAACAGGCAAAAGAUUAAAAUUAUAUAGUACCAGUGAGUCACAAAUAAAAAGAAGAAAAAAAAAACAAAAAAGAAAAAAUUAAUUCAGCAGCAGCUUUAGCUUUUUAGCUGCUGGCAUUGAAGAGGUGCUCUGCCGCAGUCAACGUCGCUGCCGCCGCCCGCAACACGCGCUCUCUUUGCCUCUCUCUCCGUCUCUCUUGUGAGCGAAAUAACACCACACACACGAAAAAAAAAGCAUAAUAAUAUUAACCAAAACGCCAGCCAAAGUGCCAGUUAAGUUAUAAUUAUACACUACAAGUAAACCGAGAAAAGAGAGAGCUGCCAGCCAAAAGCGGAAAAUCAAUAAAAGGUCUCUCGCAAAAGUGGAAAAACGUGCAAACAAGUUAAAAGCAAGGCUGCAAAAAAGAAAAAGGAAAAACUCCGCGCGCGUUUACACGUGUGGUUUAUGUGUGUGCGUGUUUAACGUUUAACUGCUAAUCGCAAAAACGCAAUCUGCGAAGACCGCGUAACAAAGGCUUACGUAAAGCUUGGCAAAGAGAAAAAAACCAAAUAACAACAACGAAGCGUAAAAAACAAUAUAUACAAAAUCCAACAAAUUUGAGGAGCUCCACAGAAAACAAGGAUAGUCCCAGAAAUUAGAAUCAAAUUCACCCAACUAAAAAUACACCGAGAAUAACCAUCUCGCGCACCCUUCAAAAACCAGGAUAACACCCCGACACAAAGAUGACUAAAGACAGAUUAGCCGCUCUCCAUGCCGCCCAAUCCGAUGACGAGGAGGAGACGGAGGUGGCCGUCAAUGUGGAUGGCCAUGAUUCCUACAUGGACGACUUCUUCGCCCAGGUGGAGGAGAUACGCGGCAUGAUCGACAAGGUGCAGGACAACGUCGAGGAGGUGAAGAAGAAGCACUCGGCCAUCCUGUCCGCCCCGCAAACGGACGAGAAGACCAAGCAAGAGCUGGAGGAUCUGAUGGCCGACAUCAAGAAGAAUGCCAAUCGCGUUCGGGGCAAGCUCAAGGGCAUCGAGCAGAAUAUCGAGCAGGAGGAGCAGCAGAACAAGUCGUCGGCGGAUCUGAGAAUCCGGAAGACGCAGCACUCGACGUUGUCACGGAAAUUCGUCGAGGUGAUGACCGAAUACAAUCGCACGCAGACCGAUUACCGGGAGCGCUGCAAGGGAAGGAUACAGCGUCAGCUGGAGAUCACCGGACGACCGACCAACGACGAUGAGCUGGAGAAGAUGCUGGAGGAGGGCAACUCGUCUGUGUUCACGCAGGGCAUCAUCAUGGAGACGCAGCAGGCCAAACAGACGCUGGCGGACAUUGAGGCUCGCCACCAGGACAUCAUGAAGCUGGAGACAUCGAUCAAGGAGCUGCACGACAUGUUCAUGGACAUGGCCAUGCUGGUGGAGUCGCAGGGCGAGAUGAUCGAUCGCAUUGAGUACCAUGUGGAGCACGCUAUGGACUAUGUGCAGACGGCAACUCAGGACACCAAGAAGGCGCUCAAGUACCAGAGUAAAGCCCGACGAAAGAAGAUCAUGAUACUGAUCUGCCUCACUGUGCUGGGCAUCUUAGCGGCCUCAUAUGUUAGCAGUUAUUUCAUGUAAAUCUCGAAUGCAAUUACUUACACGCCACAUUCACACCACAUACACCUCACACACACACACCCAAAAACACACAUUAUACUAUAUCUCAUCCAGACCCGAUCUAUAUACAUAGGAUGUUGCGCAACCCACCCAGAGAAAUUGCAGAAGACAAAAUCGAAACUUAAACUGUAAGAGACCGCAACCAGUGAACCCCCGAUUAAAAAAAAGAAAUGCACACGAAAUUAGGGCUCGAUUACACCAAUUAUAGCUAUUAUAAUAUAUAGAGAAACAUGUAUGGUUAGUAAGCAAGAGUCUCAAGUCCCCAGAGUCUAUCCUAUAUACACAUGAAACUCAAGUUAUAGCUACCAGAAUAUUUAGUACUUGUAAACAAAUUGCUAAUUGAAGAGUUAUAAAAACCGAUGCGAAGAGAGUUGAAACACAAAACUACAAGACACGUAAUUGCAAACAAAGAAAACAUGAAAUUUUAUUGAUUAUUGUUAUAAUGCGAAGCAAAAAGAAAACAAAACGAGAAUUAUAAUAAAGAGAAAGAUACACUUUUUCACUUCUCCACUGAAACACACGAAACACACUCAUUGCAAAUGCUUUGCAAUUUGAUUUACUCGUUUUUCCGACUUUAAAAAUGCAUUUAGUUUUUGUUCGUUUAGCUAGUUUAGUUCUCCUGUUGAAAACUCACACUCAAAGUAGCCUCAUCACCCACACACUCACACCGAUGAAGAUGAGAAAGAUGCAACAAAUCUCUAGUUCACUUUUGAAUAUUUAUUAUAAAAAAAGAUUGUUUACUAUACGAUAUAAUAACUAUAUUGACUAUUUACUAUAAUGCUAUUUACUUAACAUGUUCAUAUUUAUUGAAUGCAUAUGAAAUAUAUAAAUUAUACAAACACAGCGCAUAUAUAUAUACAAAUAUAAAUCUAGAUAAAUAGCUAACUCGGACAUUCUCAAUGGAGAUGAUAAUGCGAAACGAAAACAUGACAAGUUGAGGAAGUUGAUGGAAUGCCGACUUUAAAGGGAAUCCAAGCAUCCAAGUAGCAUGCUCCUCAUCAAGGCCUAUAAUCUGCAUUAUCUACACACGUUUUGUAGUACAAUUCAGACAAUGCAAAAUCAUUAUAGUUACUAAUUACAAUAAACGCAAUGUGUAUGAGUUUUUGACAACUAUUGUGAUUAAGAUACACAGAGAAAUGCUUUCGCUUCUAAGUAGGAAAUGCAAAUUUGUUAAUGCACCAAACGAACUCACGCGAAUUGGUCGAUUUCUGUUUUGAACACACGAAAUUGCCAACUGCAAAUGUCAGACCUGCAUUACAAGCACGUUUAUUUCUUAUUCAAUACGUUAAUUCACCUUUUGAUCUUUUGAACGAGCAACGAAUGAAAAAGUAAAUGAAAAGCCAACACUGCAACUACAACAGCAAUAGCAAAAAUCAGCACGUUUUCACCACCACCAAAACAACAGCAACAACAACUGCAAAAAACACCCAGUUAACAACGCGUUCAGUGAAAAGAAAAAUCAAAAGAAAAAUAACAACUUCGUAUUAUGUCAAUCAAUCAAACUGCAAUUUAAUUUCAACCACAUAAAAAUGCAAUCUAAAUGCCCGAAAAAAAAAUUCGAAAAAACGAAAAACGCGACUCCGCCCUGCCACGCCCUCACGUUCAUUGGAAGUUCCAGUCCGGGUUCCAGUGGUCCAGUGUUCCAAUGCUCCAGACCCGCAGCUUCCAGCGCGAAAAACAGCUGCAAUGCUCCAUUCCCACACGCUGAG